AUGUGUCUGAAACGGGAGAAUCGAACGUGAAGCUGAAGCGAUGGAUGACCUAUCCUGUUUAAAUGAUUAUUCACAUAUUUUUUGCAACAGCGUGUAUCUGUCUACUUGUGGCUUGACGUUCACUUUCUCGACAGCGUUCUUUUCCAGCCACGUAACAUCGAUCUCACAGUCAAAGUGACCAAUAUUACAAA